GCUUUGGUGGUGUAGUGGUUUGAGUGUUGGACUAUGAUUCUGGAGACUAGGGUUCAAACCCCCACUUGAGCA